GGCGGCGUAGCCAAGUGGUAAGGCAACGGUCUGCAAAACCGUCAUUCACCGGUUCAAAUCCGGUCGCCGCCUCCA
rnacentral:tRNA from 1 species